AAUGGCAGGUCAGCAUACUGCCGUGAAUACGUUCCCGGGCCUUGUACACACCGCCCGUCACACCAUGAGAGUUGGAGAUACCCGAAGCCUGUGAGCUAACAGAAAUGGAGCAGCAGUCGAAGGUAGAAUCAAUGAUUGGGGUGAAGUCGUAACAAGGUAAC
rnacentral:rRNA from 1 species